GGUCCGGUAGCCUAGUCGUUAAUUCGUCCGCCUCGGAUGCGGGAGGUCGUGAGUUCGAACCCCUGCCGAGUCA